rnacentral:tRNA from 1 species
AAUUAAAUAGCUUAAUUUUAAAGCCUUGUUUUGAAGAAACGAAGAUAAUCUUAUUUUUAAUUA